CAAGCUAGGAGUGUAGUUGGAGCUCAGUUGAAUGAACACUGGCGCUGUGCAAGUCGGGCUGCAGUACCAAGAAUUAGGAUCUUGGAUAUUUGUGCUGCUGGAACCAUUUCAGUGGCUUUCUAGUGCAGCAUUUGAAGCUGUUUCACCUUCAGACGUCAGUUUCUCCUCACAUUCACUGACAUCAUGGGAAGCUCAUCAUCCACUUUGUUGUGUCAGAGAUUGGACCGAAGCGCAGACAAGAACUCAGGAGCUGCAUGGUGAAGUCACACGACUUACAGGCAGGCAGCAGGAAUCAGGAACACG